UACGGAGGGUGCAAGCAUUGAUCGGAAUUACUGGGCGUAAAGGGCGCGUAGGCGGUCAUGAAAGUCAGAUGUGAAAUUCCGGGGCUCAACCCCGGAGCUGCAUUUGAAACUUCAUAACUAGAGUAUAGUUAGGGUAAACGGAAUUCCACGUGUAGCGGUGAAAUGCGUAGAUAUGUGGAAGAACACCAGUGGUGAAGACGGUUUACUGGGCUGUAACUGACGCUGAGGCGCGAAAGCAAGGGGAGCAAACAGG
rnacentral:rRNA from 1 species